AUUGAACGCUGGCGGCAGGCCUAACACAUGCAAGUCGAGCGGAUGAAGGGAGCUUGCUCCUGGAUUCAGCGGCGGACGGGUGAGUAAUGCCUAGGAAUCUGCCUGGUAGUGGGGGAUAACGUCCGGAAACGGGCGCUAAUACCGCAUACGUCCUGAGCGAGAAAGUGGGGGAUCUUCGGACCUCACGCUAUCAGAUGAGCCUAGGUCGGAUUAGCUAGUUGGUGGGGUAAAGGCCUACCAAGGCGACGAUCCGUAACUGGUCUGAGAGGAUGAUCAGUCACACUGGAACUGAGACACGGUCCAGACUCCUACGGGAGGCAGCAGUGGGGAAUAUUGGGCAAUGGUCGAAAGCCUGAUCCAGCCAGGCCGCGUGUGUGAAGAAGGUCUUCGGAUUGUAAAGCACUUUAAGUUGGGAGGAAGGGCAGUAAGUUAAUACCUUGCUGUUUUGACGUUACCAACAGAAUAAGCACCGGCUAACUUCGUG
rnacentral:rRNA from 1 species